GCAGCUCAGGCUGGCCGCCCUGCAGCUGGUACCCGGUACCCGCCGGCCUCGCUGGUGAUGCGCAGAGCCCAGGGCUUGUGCUGAGUGCCAUGUUAAGAACCAUGACCCGAUCACAGAUGUGUUCUUCAACAGAAAUUUACCAAGAUCUGGAAAGAUAGAAGAACAUGGAGUGAGUGACUCUGAAUCAUUUUGUUCAAUUUGUGCCUUGUGGACACCAGAGUGAAAAGAGCCAAGAAUGAUAAGAAAAGCCUUUUAGUGGAACAGAUACAAUGAUGGAGUGAUGAACACCCAUAAAGAGUGUCAGGAUGGAGAGCCCAGGAUGAACUGAGGCCAUUGAGGACAGCCCAGGACAACAGAGAGUCUUUUCACAUGAGGUGCAGAGCAAGGAACAAGGGCUGCAUAGAUCCGUCACUGCCUAGGGCAGC